AUGAUGGUUGUGGGAGAGACCUUUUAAGAGGCGCCGAAGGAGCAAAACGGUUAACCUAUGCUGCGGUAACCGCUCAAACUCUCAGGCAAAAGGACUGCAACCUGACG
rnacentral:ncRNA from 2 species